rnacentral:tRNA from 1 species
GGAAGAAUACUCAAGUGGUUUAAGAGGCCCGCUUGGAAAGCGUGUAGAUCUAAUUAGAUGCAAGGGUUCGAAUCCCUUUUCUUCCGCCA